UCGCUCCCUUCCCCGCCGCCCAACCCCUCCCUCGAUGAGGUCCUCAACUAUCCCCCACCCCGGAAGGCUCCGGGCGAGGCUCCGGGCGAGGCUCUGGGCGAGGCGCAGCUCCCCCAACGCCACCCAACACCCACCCGCUCCCCCAGCUUCCAGGGACGCCGGGGUGUUGCCCUGCAGCGCGCAACAAACACUUCCGGAAAAGGUCAGAAACCACUAUUAGAACUUUUUCUUACAACUCAACAGCCAAAACAAGAGAAAAAAAACCAAAUAACCGGAUUUUUAAAAUGGGCAAACUGCCUUAAAAGACAUUUCUCAAAAGAAGAUAUACAAAUGGCCAACAGCGCCUGGCAGUGUGCCUGGCAUACAGUGGGUGCUCCUUCCAUGCUGAAAGAAAGACUGACAGACGGGAGGUGUGCCCCUCUCCAUCCGUCUGGCCCUUCCCGCCAGGGCCUUGCAGGGCGGACUCCACCUCGGCAGAGGGCAUCCCA
rnacentral:lncRNA from 1 species